GCAGUUUGUGUGGUGAAGGUGCUCCCACAAUGUGGUUGGGUGGACAUUCAGAUGGUAACCUCAGUAUUUGUAACACCAAACUCUGACAGAAUUACUCAAUACAUCGGGACCUGGAUAUUUGCAUUUAGUUGGUUCUGAAAGGGCGGAUUUGUGGAUGAGAAAUUCAAAUUAAACUUCCUGUUCAGUUUUGAUGGUUACUUGAUCCGUGCCGAUCUGAAUAUCAUUGGCCUUUUCAUAUGGAAGGAAACGGUGCUAGAUG